UACGUAGGGGGCUAGCGUUGUCCGGAAUCAUUGGGCGUAAAGCGCGUGUAGGCGGCCCGGUAAGUCCGCUGUGAAAGUCGGGGGCUCAACCCUCGGAUGCCGGUGGAUACUGUCGGGCUAGAGUACGGAAGAGGCGAGUGGAAUUCCUGGUGUAGCGGUGAAAUGCGCAGAUAUCAGGAGGAACACCGGUGGUGUAGACGGCUUUCUGGACCGUAACUGACGCUGAGGUGCGAAAGCGUGGGGAGCAAACAGG
rnacentral:rRNA from 1 species